GGUGAAUAUUGCACAAUGGGCGAAAGCCUGAUGCAGCAACGCCGCGUGAGCGAUGAAGGCCUUCGGGUCGUAAAGCUCUGUCCUUGGGGAAGAAAAAAAUGACGGUACCCUUGGAGGAAGCCCCGGCUAACUACGUGCCAGCAGCCGCGGUAAUACGUAGGGGGCGAGCGUUAUCCGGAAUUAUUGGGCGUAAAGAGUGCGUAGGUGGUUACCUAAGCGCAGGGUUUAAGGCAAUGGCUCAACCAUUGUAUGCCUUGCGAACUGGGCUACUUGAGUGCAGGAGAGGAAAGCGGAAUUCCUAGUGUAGCGGUGAAAUGCGUAGAUAUUAGGAGGAACACCAGUGGCGAAGGCGGCUUUCUGGACUGUAACUGACACUGAGGCUCGAGAGCGUGGGGAGCAAACA
rnacentral:rRNA from 2 species